rnacentral:rRNA from 1 species
GUGAAAUUGUUGAAAGGGAAACGAUUGAAGCCAGUCGUACCGGUCGGGUAAUCAGCCUUUCGGCGUGAUUAUGUGGAGCGUGAGGAGGUUUAAAACGACCCUCAUGGCCUGCAUAUUCGUGUCUUUGGGUGUACUUACCCGCAUGGUAGGUUAACAUCAAUUUCGAACGUCAUAAAAUGGUUGGAGGAAUGUAGCUUCGAUCUCGUAUUGAAGUGUUAUAGACUCCGGCAGAUGUGAUGAUCGGGAUUGAGGAUUGCAACGGAUACCCUUCGGGGGCUACCCGUCUGAUCUUUGGUACUUGUCUUUAGUAUCGGAAGCUUGCUUACGAUAUUAGGGUUCACGUGUCAAAGGUUGGAACGGAUUAAAUUCGUUAAGGAUGUUGACGUAAUGGCUUUAAACGAC